rnacentral:rRNA from 1 species
GACGAACGCUGGCGGCGCGCUUAACACAUGCAAGUCGAACGGAAAGGCCCUGCUUUUGUGGGGUGCUCGAGUGGCGAACGGGUGAGUAACACGUGAGUAACCUGCCCUUGACUUUGGGAUAACUUCAGGAAACUGGGGCUAAUACCGGAUAGGAGCUCCUGCUGCAUGGUGGGGGUUGGAAAGUUUCGGCGGUUGGGGAUGGACUCGCGGCUUAUCAGCUUGUUGGUGGGGUAGUGGCUUACCAAGGCUUUGACGGGUAGCCGGCCUGAGAGGGUGACCGGCCACAUUGGGACUGAGAUACGGCCCAGACUCCUACGGGAGGCAGCAGUGGGGAAUAUUGCACAAUGGGCGGAAGCCUGAUGCAGCAACGCCGCGUGCGGGAUGACGGCCUUCGGGUUGUAAACCGCUUUCGCCUGUGACGAAGCGUGAGUGACGGUAAUGGGUAAAGAAGCACCGGCUAACUACGUG